rnacentral:misc_RNA from 1 species
GCGCCUCCACACUGCUAUCGCAUCGUCUCUUCGCUCUCUCUGUUUGGCUUGUAUCUGGUAAUUAGAUUCAAGAAGAGAAAAUGUCUGGUGAAGAGCCUGUUGCUGCUGAGACUCCAGCUCCCGCCCCCGCUCUUGGGGAGCCCAUGGAUAUCAUGACAGCAUUGCAACUUGUCCUCAGGAAAUCACGGGCUCAUGGUGGUUUAGCUAAAGGUCUUCAUGAGGCUGCUAAGGUUAUUGAGAAGCAUGCUGCCCAACUUUGCGUUUUGGCAGAGGACUGUGACCAACCAGACUAUGUGAAAUUGGUCAAAGGUCUAUGCGGUGAUCACAAUGUUAGCCUGAUCACUGUUCCUAAUGCCAAGACACUUGGUGAAUGGGCUGGUCUGUGCAAGAUUGACUCUGAAGGCAAAGCUAGGAAAGUUGUCGGAUGCGGUUGUGUUGUAGUAAAGGAUUUUGGAGAGGAAACUGAAGGGCUCCACAUUGUUCAGGAAUAUGUGAAGUCUCACUAAGUGAAAUGUUGAAUUAGAGAGGUUUAGCUUGUUUUUGGUUGUGACAUGAAAAUUCUUGAUUGUUAUAAAACCAGAUUUUGAUAAAUUUCAAUUUGUAGUCAUUUGUGAUUCUGGUUAUGCACGGCUUCUUGAACUUUAUAGGUCUUUUGGAUCCCUAUGAAUGAACCAAUUCGAUUAUAAUCUGUUCUGGUAACAUUUUGCAAGAAUGAUAUCAGGA